GCACCUGUCGUUAGCAUUACGCGACGACAAGGAGCUCCCAACACAGGGCCUUGGGACAGAAACCAAGGAUCUUUCCACAUAACCAGGGCGCGAUGACACCGUCGCGAACUCAUGAUCAUGCGAAGCGGAUUUCCCCUCGGGGAGAAUCCUCUGGUUCUGAGCCACCACUGUAACGGUCUCAUGUGCAGGAGGCCAGAAAGGUAUCACGUUGGACGCAGCCGCCAUGAGACCCAACAGUCUCUGGAACUGUUUUACAGUGGAUGACCGGCCUAGCUUGACUUGAUGUACUGCGGCGAGAAUCGAAGCAACACGAGCAGGUGACAAUUGUGCCUGCAUCGUCGUCGAAUCCCACACUACACCGAGAAAAUGGUUCUCUGUAAUGGAGAAAGAACACUCUUCUUGGCGUUGAGCCUACAUCCCGAGUGACAGACACAGCGCCCUGUAACAUACUGGCAGGAAACAGCUGGUCUGAACACUCCACAACCCUCCUCGGAGGGGGCGAGCGUCCCUCGGGAAAUCGCUCGCCGAGUCUCUCUACACCCCGUGUAGGCAGGGUUAGUAGAACAGACCCCUGAGGGCAUCGGGAAAGACAGGGCACCGUGUUCUUGUGCGGUGAACUCAAGUCUCUCCCGAUGGGGACCACCCUCAGAGUCCUGACGUUCAGCCCGUCAGGACUUUUUCGACGCGGCCCUCCUGGCGACAAUGACCGUCCUCAGAUCAGUCCUGCCCCGAGAAGGCCGCGCCGGAGAGCGCCCCGCCUCGUCCCUCCAGUUUCCCUGCGGGGGGGCACGAGACGCGACACUCCGCUUCUGCUGUGCUCUCUUUGAAGAGGAAGAACUCGACGGCCGGGACUGCCCUUUUCGCUCAGCAGCCCCAGCGACACGUAUCUUGAGAGGGAUAAAUUUAGAAAAAGCAGCCGCCUGUUUUUUCUCUUCCUGGAACCUCACCGUGACCGAGUGAAGAGCGUCACCGAAGAGGCCCGCAGGUGAAACAGGAGCAUUUAAAAGGAGAGAUUUAUCUCUCUCCUUCAUAGAUGUCUGACUCAACCAUAAGUGCCUUUCUGUGGCCACCAUGGCUGCCAUAGAUCGACCAAUAGAUUUAGCGGACUCUCUGGUGGCACGCAGAGUGAGAUCAGCAGUC
ensembl:lncRNA